rnacentral:rRNA from 1 species
CUACGGGUUGCAGCAGUGAGGAAUAUUGCACAAUGGGGGGAACUCUGAUGCAGCAACGCCGCGUGGAGGAUGACGCAUUUCGGUGUGUAAACUCCUUUUAUAUGUCAAGAAAAUGACGGUAGCAUAUGAAUAAGCACCGGCUAACUCCGUGCCAGCAGCCGCGGUAAUACGGAGGGUGCAAGCGUUACUCGGAAUCACUGGGCGUAAAGGACGCGUAGGCGGGCUUGUAAGUCAGGUGUGAAAUCCUACAGCUUAACUGUAGAACUGCACUUGAAACUACGAGCCUAGAGUAUGGGAGGGGGAGAUGGAAUUAGUGGUGUAGGGGUAAAAUCCGUAGAUAUCACUAGGAAUACCUAAAGCGAAGGCGAUCUCCUGGAACAUAACUGACGCUAAGGCGUGAAAGCGUGGGGAGCAAACAGGAUUAGAUACCCGGGUAGUC